rnacentral:piRNA from 1 species
UAAAACAAAAUACGCUCAGUGAAUGAUUGC